rnacentral:lncRNA from 1 species
AAGCAGAAAAAGAAAAGGGUUUGAAAGUGACUGUUGGAUUAGAUGACAGGAAGUGAAUCCCAGAACAGCUUACUUUCUCUGCGCUUGGGAGUGGAUCUCACUGCUCUCACCAGAACCCUGUCCUCCCAUUCCAGGAGAAUGGUGGAGAGAGCCUGGAAGUGGGCAUCUAAAGAUUGGCUCCACCACGGAACUGUCAUCUGCAGCUGUGUGUGGCUUUGAGGCAGCUAUAAUUUAUUCCCUGGGAUCUCAAUUUCCUCAUCCCUAUAUUAGCAAUAAUGGUGCCUACUUUAUAAAAUACAGGAUAAAAUGAAAGGAUCAAUGCUCAAUUUAAUUGAUAAAGUGUUAACUCAUUAUCAUGCUAAUUAUUUUCUAACAUUGCAGAAACAAGUGUUAAGGUGACAUCAUUGGAUACCAUAAGAAGCUGAUAGGUCCAUCUGCUUCCACAAAGCUAGUUGGAGAAUUUCUGACAUCCUAGAUAGAGCUCCCAAGGGCUCUUAAGACUAUUUUCCUUUUGAAACAUCACAUAAUUCCCUACCACUCUGGAAGAUAUUUGGUUUCCUCUGAGUGAACCGUAAACCUACCUGCAUCCAACAGCAAAAUUAGUGAAUUCCUUUUGAAGAAAAUUGUGUAUAUAAAAACAAGCAAUCUUCUCUAAAACAACACCACCGUAUCAGGAUUACAUAUCAUAUCAGGAUUACGAUAACAGAGAAAGUAUAAACAAAACCGCCGUAUCAGGAUCACUGUAUCGUAUCAGGAUUACGAUAACAAAGAAAGUAUAACACUUUUGUGCUCAUAAAGCCACUUUAUCUUCAACAAAAAGUGCAAAAAACAGAGCCAUCCAAAAAUGUUGCUUAAUUCAUUUGAAAUUAUGAGAAGCCUUUGUGUUUUUAAAGUAACAUGGUAUUUCUUAUAGAAAAGUUAACUAUUUCUCGGAUUCAUCUUCUUAAAGUAUAUCAUGUCCUGGACAUAAAUAAUCCCUAAAAAUAGAAUUUUAAUUCCUUGAAAAAGCAAAAGCACUGGUUAAAACGUGGUUGUUUUAGAUCUUUACCUUGUGAACUGCCUUGACACAUUGUAACCAGUGCGCACAAGCACUGUAAACCCAUGGGAUUCUCACAUUUUAUGAGAAAAGUUAAUACAUCUACUUCCUUAACAAUAUGAUUCAGGUGACCAUUUGGGGCAGCCUUAGGAGUAUGUUGUGGGCUCAGACACCAUACAGGGCCUGGAUCGUUACGACUUCUCCAAGGCGCUUUGAAAUCAUCAUGGAAGGGCUUUGGCAUCUCUAGAACACCAAGAACUGUGAUAAAGAGUUGAAAAAAGGAGGAAACAUUCCUGAGGCGCCGGAGUGGCGUGAAGGCCCUCCAGCUCUGGGGCCCAUCAGCACCCGGAAAAGUACCACUGGAGUGGCACUUAGGUAGGAUUCCCCAGCAAACACAGGUGCCCCGGGAGCUCAGUAACGUGGUUUGGAAGGGGACAGAGGCCCCAAAGGCCUGAAAGCCCAAAAGGAGUACUUUGUGGCCUGCACACCAAGGUUUUUCCUAAGGUUCAUCCUGCCACAGAAAUUCUUUCUCCUCCUUCUCCUCCCAUUCCUCAGCCACUGGCGUGAUUAGGACUGGCUACAAAGACUGCCUAAUUUGGAGCGUUUGGGGUUCCUUUCGUCCUUGUGAUCCCCAAUGCAUUCUGCCAGCCCCUUUCUAAAAGAAAUGGCUUCUCUGGAGGAGGGCAUCUACAGCCUUAAAAUUAAUUCCAAACGUAGCUCCUAUAAUUUCAUGAACCCUCAAUUUGCAGCUGGAAGUGAGGGUCAAAAUGAAACUGAGGAACCAAACAAGUUCCAGAACAGGUAGGGUAGACCUAAAGAUAGCGACGCUUAAUUGACUUAUGUGAGGGUUCUCCAGGAGAUCCUGGGAGAUGACAUGCCAAAAGGAAAGGAAGAGGCUGUCACUAGUUCACAAUCAAGCCUAGGAGAGUGUCUCUACUACGGAGAAGGACGAGCCAGGAAUGCCACUAUCUUUGCUCCUCAAAAAGAGAAAGAGUCAGCCCCAGAGAUGAGCAGCUCCUGUGACAAGAGGGUGAUUGUUAAUCCUCCUAAGAAAUUCAGUAAGGGGCGACCUAAUAACCAAAGUAGAGUCAUUUAUGAAAAAAGCUCUCCGCCUUUAAAUUUUCUGGGUGAUUAUAACCCCCAUUCAAUAAUCCAAAAGCGACUUAGCAACCAAAGUAGUCAUUUGUGAAAAAACUCUCCACCUUUAAAUUUUCCCGGAAGACUAGAGCUCCCAUUCAAUGUUCCAAAAGCACAAAGACAAGAUGGUGAUUGAGCGCCCCUCUUUAGGGUGUGACUGAUCUGAUGUAGGUGGAACCACAGUCGUAUUCUCUGAAGAGAAGCCAUUCUCACUGUGUCUUCCUGGAGUGUCAGAGCCUCUGUACUACGCCACUGACUAUACCACUUUUCCACCUCAUUAUAGUCCUUGGCAUGACUACACCAGCUCUUGGUUCAGCAAUACCAAGUCUUCUUGGUAUCCCUCCUUGGGCAGCAGCAGUAACACAUUCCAGGCUGGGAAGAGCAGCUUCAGCAGCAGCAGCAGCAACAACAACAUAUUCCAGAAUGAGAGGAGCAGCCACCAGAGCUUCCUGAGUGAUUAUUCCACCAGUUUUCCAGUGAGUGCCCAAAACAUGUCCAGAGACCUGAAGAUGACAGAGGAAGGCAGAUCCAAGAAUUCCUCCUUAUUUCACUACUCCAGAAAUGUGGAAGCAGAUGCGAAGGAGGAGGGAGUGUAUCAAGAGGAGACAUUACAACGUCCUUAUGGAGGACAUGCAUCUAGCUUUCUGCCAAGUACCCUCUGGCAGCCAAAGCAACAGGGUUUCAUUGUUGAUACCCACUGUCACUUGGACUUGCUGUAUUCCAGGCUGCCUUUCAAAGGCACCUUUACCAAAUUCAGAAAAAUGUAUAGCAACACCUUCCCCAAGGAAUUUCAGGGUUGCAUUUCUUGCUUCGACAAUCCUCAAAACCUAAGGGACAGGCUGUGGGAGCAUCCGUUGAAAGAUGAUCAGCCUUUGGCUGAUAGCCUUUGACUGUUGCCCUCAUUUUGCCCAUUAUUAUAAUGACUAUCAAGAAAGAAGUAUUUUAAAAGCCUUACAACACCCCAAGUCUGUGGCAUUUGGAGAAAUGGGCUUGGAUUACUCCAACAUGUGCACCACACAUGUCCCAGAGCAGCAGAAGGUAUUUAAAAGAUAGCUGCAGCUGGCCGUCUCUCUUAAAGAAGCCCAUGAUGAUCCACUGCCGAGAAGCCGAUGAAGACCUACUGGGCAUCUUGAAAAAAUAUGUGCCCUCUGACCACAAGAUGUACCAGCAUUGCUUCACUGGCAGUUACCCAGUCAUCGAGCCCCUGUUGAGCCACUUUCCCAACCUGUAUGUGGGCUUCAUGGCAAUUCUGACUUACUCUUCUGCUGAGCAAGCCCGAGAAACUGUGAAAAAGAUCCCAUUAGAGAGAAUUAUUGUAGAAACCAAUGCUCCCUUCUUCCUCCCUCACUAGGUUUCCAAAAGCCGUUGCCAGUAUGCCCACCCAGGCCUGGCCCUGCAUACGGUGCGAGAGAUUGCCAGAAUCAAAGAUCUGUUGCUUUCCCACACCUUGGCCAUCUUGCAGGAGAACACCUGUCACCUCUACCAUCUUUAA